AGAAGCAGUGUUACCUCCUUGCAGCUGAUGUCAUCAGAUAGAACUCUGAAUCUAAGCAAGGAUGGGCCUGAUUAGUAUUGGGAACGGAGACCUUGAAGGAAACCAGGUUGUUGCUGUAA
rnacentral:rRNA from 1 species